GGGGCUGUAGCUCAGUGGCUGAGCACUUGCCUAGAAUGCAUGAGGCACUGGAUUCGAUCCUCAGCACCA
rnacentral:tRNA from 1 species